UAUUGCUUUGAGAUGGACCCGCGGCGCAUUAGCUAGUUGGUAAGGUAACGGCUUACCAAGGCAACGAUGCGUAGCCGACCUGAGAGGGUGAUCGGCCACAUUGGAACUGAGACACGGUCCAGACUCCUACGGGAGGCAGCAGUGGGGAAUAUUGCGCAAUGGGGGAAACCCUGACGCAGCAACGCCGCGUGGGUGAUGAAGGUCUUCGGAUUGUAAAGCCCUGUUUUCUGGGACGAUAAUGACGGUACCAGAGGAGGAAGCCACGGCUAACUAC
rnacentral:rRNA from 1 species